GGAACAACCUUUCCUUAACAUCCAAUGGCACGUGGCUGGCCCUCCACCCUCUUUUCCUGGAAGAGGCAUUUGAAUGAAACACUUGACAAAUAUUUAUAUGCUAGUAACCAUGCUAGAAUAACAGCCACAGUCUGCUAUGACCUGAAUUGAACCAGAAAAUGCAGAGUGAAGGCAGGGGGAACACGGCUCGGGGUCCUCUCUGGUCAGGCCUGGAGCCAGCGCUUGUAAACUGUGGACUAUCACCCACUGUUGAGAGGCCUCCUUUCGGCAGACUUCAGCACAGGGAUGUGGACUUGUUUCUAUGAAAGCCUGGAAUUCCUGUAGGGGUAGUGCCGUAAAACCGGAUCUUUACCUUCCUUAUUUAAAGGACUUUUUUGCGCAUAGACUGCCUGUCCUGGCCUCUCUCCCACUCUGGAAAGGAAGGGCUGAGAGAGAAAAACACACUGGAGAUGCUGUUUUGGAUGGAAACACACUCGCUGCCUGUUUCCCUGUGUGCCCAUGGUUCUUCUAGGUGCUGGGAAUAGACGAGUGAGAUGCAGACAAGGCCCCAGUCCUCACGGCACUUAUGUGCUAUGAGGAAACAAGGAAUGCACAUACCCCAUCGAGGAGGUGUCAGUCCAUCUUCAUGAGCCAAAAGGUGACAUGUGCCAAGGAAACAGGAAUAGAGCCUUGAGUGAAGCAUCAGACCAGUACAGCCGACCUGGUGGGCCUUGGUGCAAAGGGAAUGGAGCAAAGACUGGGAGGUAAUGAGGGGAUUCCCCAGGUGCUCCCCUGGGAGAAGAGAAUUCUGCCCACAGGCCCUGCCACCAGCGAGGGCCUUGCGUGCCGUGGAGUGGGAGGAACCACAAGUCUGAUGAGGUAAUUCUCAGGAUACAGAUGGACGUCUGUGCUCUGAAGUUUAAUCCUCUCACCCAAGAUCAAAGAGAAAGUAAGUGCACAGCCAGAACUGAGCCCUGGUUUAUCUGUUGUCAAACCCACAUUCUUCACUGUGAAGCUAAUAUUUGCACAAAGUAAAGAAAUAAAAAAAGAGAUAAAUGAAAUUAAAAAGAUGUGAGAAGAAGAACACAGGCCACCGAGAGCUAACAUGUAGACAGUGGGUGCCUGUAACGUCAGGAACAGAACAAGUGGAAGAGAAGGGCAAGCACGUUCAGAAGGACCAGAGAAGAAAUCAUGCUCAAGCAAAGAAUUCAAUCUGCUGCUUGAAAGGCCACAUCAUAUUCCUGGAAAAUUUUAAUAACAAAAAUAAAUCCUAAGGUAUGUCUUGCUAGAAAUAUUUAACUCUAAGGAUUAAGAAAGAAUACUACAAGCUUUCAGGCAGAAGAAAAGGCUCAUGGCCUAAAGGAGGAAAAAUGCAGAGCAACAUGGACCUUAGACUUGUCCUCGACACAGCUCUAUCGCAGAAGCAAAUUUCACGGUAGCUUUAGGAGAACAUGAGAGUCCUAAUGUUUGUACCCAGUGAAGUUUUUCUUCAUGUAUAAAUUCAACAAAAAAUCAUAAUAAA
rnacentral:lncRNA from 10 species